rnacentral:tRNA from 1 species
GGGAAUUUAGCUCAGCGGUUCAAGUGCUUGCCUGAUAUGCAUGAGGUCAUGAGUUUAAUUCCCA